GAUAUAUCUUCUCUCCGUUUCUUCAGCUCUCUUUCUCCCCCGCCCUUUUUUCUUUGGCAGUUUCUCGCAUCUCUCUGUAAUCACUCUCGCGUUUCGCCUCACUCUCUUCUCUUUUUUACGAGCUACCUUUUAAUUUUGAAGAUGGUCUGCUAUCGCUGCGGUGGUGUUGGUCACCAGAGCCGCGAGUGCACGUCUGCUGCGGACUCUGCCCCGUGCUUCCGCUGUGGCAAGCCUGGCCACGUCGCCAAGGAGUGCGUGAGCACGAUCACGGCUGAGGAGGCGCCGUGCUUCUACUGCCAGAAGCCUGGCCACCGCGCGCGCGACUGCCCGGAAGCGCCGCCAAAGUCGGAGACGGUGAUGUGCUACAACUGCUCGCAGAAAGGUCACAUCGCGAGCGAGUGCACCAACCCCGCGCACUGCUACCUUUGCAACGAGGACGGUCACAUUGGCCGCUCCUGCCCGACGGCGCCGAAGCGCUCGGCCGCGGACAAGACCUGCCGCAAGUGCGGUAAAAAGGGCCACCUCCGCAAGGACUGCCCGGAUGCCUAAUAAAUCUCCCGGUCAUAUCCGUAUAGAAUGGAUGGGAACGCAGCAUGAAAAGGAAGAAGUGAGUGUCUAGGGAAAAAAACAACAACAACAAAGAAAAGGAGGGAGGGGAACGACACGAAAAAAAAGGAGCAGGCUUGGUUUUUCUGUUUUUUUUUUUUUCUUCUUUUGUGUGUAUUUAUUUGUGGUGUGUGCGUGUGUGUGUCUCCUUCUGUUAUGGGGCGCUGAUUUGUGUGCGCGAGGAUGUUUUGCUCAUCCAUCGACACACCUAUCCACUCAUCCGUCACCUUCUUUUCUUUUUGGCGCUCCUUUUCUAUCUUCUGUUUUAUUAUUUUUCGCCUUUUCUUUUAGAUGCCCAAGUUCGAUGGGGUGAGCGCACUCCUUUUGUUCUUGUGCCACUUCCUUUGGCUUUUUGGCCCUCGUUUCGAGAGUCAUGGGCCCAUCCCCCUUCCCGGGAUGAGUCGCCUCCCUAGCGCCGCUAACCCUAAUCUCGUUCUCGCCUCCUCCCAGCUCGCCGUCGCCGCAACUAUCCCUGCUACCGCUCCUACUCUCUUCACGUGCCCUUCCCCGUUCUGGCGUGUCUACUCCCUUUCCCGAGCCCCCCCCCCCCCCCCGGUGUGCAGCUGCUGAGGCACAGACAAAGAGGCCAUGCUUCAUGCAGGGUGAGCGUGAACGCAGGCGCGCGUCUGCCGAUGCAGCUCAUCUCACCCCGCCUCUCUUUCUCCCCCUCCGGAUUCGCUCGCAAUCGCCCUCGCCUAUGGCGUGGUGACCUUCAAGCCUCGAUGCAAUAAAGACAGCAAGCCAAGAAAAACGCGAUGGAUAGCGGGGCACAUAGCGGAGAGGGCGACGGAAGGCAGCGAGAGGAGGGCGAAUGCCUGCUCUCGACAACAGGCAUGCCGGCUUUUGCCCGUGUUCAGGUGUGCCAGGGCCAUGAUGUGAAGAGGGCAAAAAGAACGACAAGGGAGGGAGGCUGUGAGGGAGAGAGGGAGAGAGGCGGACGGGAAUAAUUAGGAGCAGGGAUGCUUGUGUUUGUUUCUGUGUGUAUUUGCCGUACUUAUCGGUCAAAAAAAAAGCAGUCGGCAAACCGAAAACAAAAACGAAAAAGAAGGAAAGAUAAAUAAAAGGGAUGCAUGUGUGCUUUAAGGGAAUCAGAAAAUAACGAAGGGCAAACAAAAAGGAUCACACACACGCGCGUGAUUGUCAAGAGCUGCGAAAGCAUAAAAAAGCGACGAGGAGAGCGUAUAAAGCGGGCCUUUGGACGGAACGCCUCCCCGGCUUUCCUUGCCCCGCUUCUCCCCAUCCCCUUUACUCCUCGUUUGCGUUUCUUUCUUUUUCUUCGCACUUUCCAAGGUCUCUGACUGUCUACUUGUGCGUGUAUGCGUUGCAGUGCGCAGGCACACAGACACCGACACGCACACACGCUCACACCUACACACCUACAUGCGAGUGUAUGAGCCGCUGCGCACGCGUGUGUGCUUCCUUUUGUUGUUUUUCCCCUCUUUUUCUUUGUCUCAUGGGAUUGGCGUUGUGUCUCCGGCUUGUAUGUUUCAAGAGGAAGGGAAAAGAGAGAGAAGUGUGAACGAAAGAAAAAAUAAAACAGAAAGAAGAAAGCCCGUCGUUUUUUUUUUUGUGUUCUCGCGCGCAUGUGGGUUUCGCGAGCACACAGGAAGCGGACCCUACAGAGGUGAAGAGUUUCUUUCCUAUGGCGAUGAUCGGGAAGAGCAGAGACAAAAAAGACAAGGGGCGGAAGAGAGGGACAAGUGGGCGAGACGGAGAAGAGGCCGUGGAGGCGGUAGAUCAUGUUUCAUGGAAUGACCAGCUGUCGUGAUUGUCAGGGCUGGCUGCUCAGGAGAAAGAAAAAGAAGCACUCCGCCUACUCCUCUCAACUAUUUUCGUCGUUGUAUGUGUGCUCUUCUUGUCGCUUUCUUUGAAGCGCGUUUUUUCUCUUUCGCCUCUUUCUCUCUGAGUGUAUGCUUAAGCGUGUGUGUGAAAGGACCGUUGCCCGCGUGUAGAUGCACUGCAAUGCUUGCGUGGGCGCGUUGGUGCACACUUGGUUGCAUGCGUGGCUGCUCAUCAUGUCUCUUCUGGUUGUCCGAGAUUAGUUCUCUUGACAGGUGAUCGUUUCUUCUUUUUGUCUUUUGGUUUCUUCCCCAUGCGAUCCCUUUUUCAUCUUUGCUGUGCUCUUCACUUGUUUGCCACCAGCGCGUCUUGUGUGCGUGCCUGCGCGUCUGAGCGUCCGGUGACUCGCACGUGUGUGUUCUCCAUCCACUGGCUUUCUUGUAUUGCCGCAUACCGACCGAAGCUUCACGCUAGUGAGGAAGUGUGCUUGCGUGUAGCGAAGACUUCGGGUGCCACCAGGGCCAUGACAACAGUCAGUGCGUAGAUGGUCGCACGCGAACGGAAAAAAAAAGCAAGAAUUGUCCGACAUGAAUGCGACGACAGGCACAUCAAGCGCUGAAACAGAGGCGAAUCUAAGCGAGGGAAAGUUCUAUCCUUGCCGCAAGUUAGAAGGAAGAAGAGACAGCCACAAAAGAAGAAACGGUCUGACAUCAGGUUCUUCUUUUUGCUCUCGUUUUAAUUUUUUUGCCCCUCCCCCCUUUUCGACCUCUUUCUGUUUUUAUUUUCAGUUUUAUUUUUUUUUUUGGCGCUCUCUAAAAUUUUGCUUCACGCCUUCUGUUUCGUUUUUAUUUUCGCGCGCUCUCUCACGAUUUUUUCCGGUCCUUUUUUGCGUUUAUCUCGAUGUUGCUCUCCUUUUCUGUAGUAGAGCGUUGAGAGGUUACCACCGCCUUUUUUGUUCUCUUGUUCUGUGUCCACAACUGAGCUUCUUCUCUUGGGGUAUUUCUUUUUUUUUUCUGUGUUGUGUUGUUUGUAUACCACGAAUGCGCUUCUUCUCAUCUUCUUUCCUUGUUUCUAUGCUUGAAAGUUGAUUAGCUCUCUUUAUCCAUGCGUUGUGGUGCUUCUGUUUUCGCUUUUCCCUCCUCUUCUCCCUUUCUCGCUCCCAUCUGAUCUUGCAACUCAUCAUCAGCUUUUUUUUUCGCCCUUGUUGGCUUUCCUUGCCCAGGUCGUUCUGCGUCUGUGUGUAUUUGUAUGCGGAUGUGAGAGUAGAUAGGUGCAGAGAAGAAGGUUUGGUUGGAGCUGUCUGCCUCUGCGCACGCGUCUGUGCCUGUGUGGGCAUGCGAGCGCGUGCCCGUACUCUGGUGCACCGUGCGCCUUGAUAUGCUUCACCCUUCCUCCUUCCUUUCGUUCUCUUUGUCUUUCGACGCGUGCGUUUGGUUCUGUGUGUGCGUGUCUCCAUAUCGAACUCGCAAGCUUCCUUUGGCAUAUAUCUAUAUAUCUGUAUCUAUCUCCCCCUCUUCGUGCUCUCUGUUUAGUGUACGUGGUCGUCUUCUUCUUUUUGGCGACUUUUUUUUCCACGACCGUGAGGGCCUUAGACAACGCGCGCGCAAAGACCGAAAAAAAAAACAAUACACUUUCUUGUGCUCGCCCAGACCCCCCCUCCCUCCUUCUCCCCCAAAGCGCUUUCGAAAGGAAAAACGAAGAGUACGACCGUCAACAGAAUGCCCCACUCUCCCUUCCCUUCCUUUUUCAGGGGAUCCUCAUCUCUUUUCUCCUCUCCUUCCUGUAUCUGCACUCUUUUUUUUUGGUGCUUUUUUUUUUCGUCUCUCCUCUCCCAUGUUCGCCAUCACAUGUGUGUCCGUCUUUCUUUCUGCUCCCGCGGAAGCUAGAGGCCGCGUUUUGCGCGCGUGUGCGCCCACACCUAGGUGACUAUGGGGUGUUUCAAAGGAUGCCAACUUUAUGUAUGCGUUUGUCGAUUUGCGUGUGUGUGUUGUAUGUGUGUGUGUGUCGUGAGCCGAAAAAAGGGAAAAGUAUCGAGGAGCAUCCUAAUAGAGAAAAAAAAGUGAGGCGAAAAUAACGGCAGAGAGAGAGAACAUCCAAAGAAUGAGUUCAGAGGUGGGCGAAGAACGCAGAAAAAAACCGCCGAGAACGGAGGUUUGUGUGAUGUGCGUAUAAGUGAUUGUAGUCGCUGUCUCGAAGAGGUACAGCAGUGUAAGCGAGCAGUGCUGACACUUCUGCAGCCUCCGCGCGACUCCGUUCUGUAGAGGCACUCGGAGGGCUUUGUUUUGCUUUGUUUCUCUCCCAUCCUCCACCAGCACUUCCUGUGAGAGAAGCGGCCCUUUUCCUCCCAAUGUAAGCAGGGGUACGGUCAGGGGUUAGUGUGUGCGGUGCCGCCUCCCUUUUUUCCACCCUCUCUUGAUUCUCAUACCUGCGACACCGACACGCCUAAAGAGGAGCCUUAGACACGAAAAUCACCAUUUCGCGUGCUUAUGUUCAUGUGACGCUGCUGCCUGCGUGUAUAGGUGUUUGCUUCCACAAUCUCUCCCCUUCCUCCCUUCCUCUCUCCCUCUCUCACCCCAUCGUGCAAGUUGCUUGUCGACUGCUGAGUGUUGGUGUGUGUUUGUACGGUGCGCUUGAAUGUCUUUGGCUCUUGUGUGUCGAUCUGGUACGUCUUUUUUGUAUGCCUUUUUUGCGGGUUUAUGACGGUGCCGACUCUCUCUACGCACAUUGUUUUUCUUUCCUCCGUUCUCUGCUCGUUUCUUUCCCUUCCCCCCUCUCUCUCAACUUCUUCGCGCUUCACUCCUUUGCAUCUAAAACACUUCGAUGUCUCGCUUCUCAUUUCUUUGUUACCGUUUCUUUUUUUUUUCUCUUCGUGUCUUCUUCCAUGUUUGAUUAUUGGGUUCGCGUGUGCUUCACUCUAGGUGUUUGCAUAUAUAUAUAUAUAUGUGUGUGUGUGUGCGUUGUGUGUACGCGUCGGUUUUUGUGUGCCCCUUUUUGUUUUUGCGAUGGGG
rnacentral:misc_RNA from 1 species